rnacentral:rRNA from 1 species
CUAGCAGGUCACACUGGCCUGAAGCCACAGCACCCUGGGGCUGUGAGCUCACCAAGCUCCAGGAAGCCAAACAGGGUCAGGCCUGGCUGGUCCCAGGAGGGAGACCUCCCAGGCAAAACACAGGUGUUGCUGGU